rnacentral:rRNA from 1 species
AUUGAACGCUGGCGGCAGGCUUAACACAUGCAAGUCGAGCGGAGAUGAGGUGCUUGCACCUUAUCUUAGCGGCGGACGGGUGAGUAAUGCUUAGGAAUCUGCCUAUUAGUGGGGGACAACAUUCCGAAAGGAAUGCUAAUACCGCAUACGUCCUACGGGAGAAAGCAGGGGAUCUUCGGACCUUGCGCUAAUAGAUGAGCCUAAGUCGGAUUAGCUAGUUGGUGGGGUAAAGGCCUACCAAGGCGACGAUCUGUAGCGGGUCUGAGAGGAUGAUCCGCCAAACUGGGGCUGAGACAAGGCCCAGACUCCUACGGGAGGCAGCAGUGGGGAAUAUUGGACGAUGGGGGGAACCCUGAUCCAGCCAUGCCGCGUGUGUGAAGAAGGCCUUAUGGUUGUAAAGCACUUUAAGCGAGGAGGAGGCUACUGAGACUAAUACUCUUGGAUAGUGGACGUUACUCGCAGAAUAAGCACCGGCUAACUCUGUGCCAGCAGCCGCGGUAAUAC